GGGUUGUGAGGUUAAGCGACUAAGCGUACACGGUGGAUGCCCUGGCAGUCAGAGGCGAUGAAGGGCGUGCUAAUCUGCGAUAAGCGCCGGUAAGGUGAUAUGAACCGUUAUAACCGGCGAUACCCGAAUGGGGAAACCCAGUGUGACUCGUCACACUAUCAUUAACUGAAUCCAUAGGUUAAUGAGGCGAACCGGGGGAACUGAAACAUCUAAGUACCCCGAGGAAAAGAAAUCAACCGAGAUUCCCCCAGUAGCGGCGAGCGAACGGGGAGGAGCCCAGAGCCUGAAUCAGCAUGUGUGUUAGUGGAAGCGUCUGGAAAGGCGCGCGAUACAGGGUGACAGCCCCGUACACAAAAGCGCAUGUGCUGUGAGCUCGAUGAGUAGGGCGGGACACGUGGUAUCCUGUCUGAAUAUGGGGGGACCAUCCUCCAAGGCUAAAUACUCCUGACUGACCGAUAGUGAACCAGUACCGUGAGGGAAAGGCGAAAAGAACCCCGGCGAGGGGAGUGAAAAAGAACCUGAAACCGUGUACGUACAAGCAGUGGGAGCACCCUUUGGGUGUGACUGCGUACCUUUUGUAUAAUGGGUCAGCGACUUAUAUUCUGUAGCAAGGUUAACCGAAUAGGGGAGCCGGAGGGAAACCGAGUCUUAAUUGGGCGUUAAGUUGCAGGGUAUAGACCCGAAACCCGGUGAUCUAGCCAUGGGCAGGUUGAAGGUUGGGUAACACUAACUGGAGGACCGAACCGACUAAUGUUGAAAAAUUAGCGGAUGACCUGUGGCUGGGGGUGAAAGGCCAAUCAAACCGGGAGAUAGCUGGUUCUCCCCGAAAGCUAUUUAGGUAGCGCCUCGUGAAUUCAUCUCCGGGGGUAGAGCACUGUUUCGGCUAGGGGGCCAUCCCGGCUUACCAACCCGAUGCAAACUGCGAAUACCGGAGAAUGUUAUCACGGGAGACACACGGCGGGUGCUAACGUCCGUCGUGAAGAGGGAAACAACCCAGACCGCCAGCUAAGGUCCCAAAGUCAUGGUUAAGUGGGAAACGAUGUGGGAAGGCCCAGACAGCCAGGAUGUUGGCUUAGAAGCAGCCAUCAUUUAAAGAAAGCGUAAUAGCUCACUGGUCGAGUCGGCCUGCGCGGAAGAUGUAACGGGGCUAAACCAUGCACCGAAGCUGCGGCAGCGACACUGUGUGUUGUUGGGUAGGGGAGCGUUCUGUAAGCCUGCGAAGGUGGCCUGUGAGGGUUGCUGGAGGUAUCAGAAGUGCGAAUGCUGACAUAAGUAACGAUAAAGCGGGUGAAAAGCCCGCUCGCCGGAAGACCAAGGGUUCCUGUCCAACGUUAAUCGGGGCAGGGUGAGUCGACCCCUAAGGCGAGGCCGAAAGGCGUAGUCGAUGGGAAACGGGUUAAUAUUCCCGUACUUGGUGUUACUGCGAAGGGGGGACGGAGAAGGCUAUGUUGGCCGGGCGACGGUUGUCCCGGUUUAAGCGUGUAGGUGUGUGUUCCAGGUAAAUCCGGUUCACUUUAACACUGAGGCGUGACGACGAGGCACUACGGUGCUGAAGCAACAAAUGCCCUGCUUCCAGGAAAAGCCUCUAAGCAUCAGGUAACAUCAAAUCGUACCCCAAACCGACACAGGUGGUCAGGUAGAGAAUACCAAGGCGCUUGAGAGAACUCGGGUGAAGGAACUAGGCAAAAUGGUGCCGUAACUUCGGGAGAAGGCACGCUGACACGUAGGUGAAGUGAUUUACUCAUGGAGCUGAAGUCAGUCGAAGAUACCAGCUGGCUGCAACUGUUUAUUAAAAACACAGCACUGUGCAAACACGAAAGUGGACGUAUACGGUGUGACGCCUGCCCGGUGCCGGAAGGUUAAUUGAUGGGGUCAGCGCAAGCGAAGCUCCUGAUCGAAGCCCCGGUAAACGGCGGCCGUAACUAUAACGGUCCUAAGGUAGCGAAAUUCCUUGUCGGGUAAGUUCCGACCUGCACGAAUGGCGUAAUGAUGGCCAGGCUGUCUCCACCCGAGACUCAGUGAAAUUGAACUCGCUGUGAAGAUGCAGUGUACCCGCGGCAAGACGGAAAGACCCCGUGAACCUUUACUAUAGCUUGACACUGAACAUUGAGCCUUGAUGUGUAGGAUAGGUGGGAGGCUUUGAAGUGUGGACGCCAGUCUGCAUGGAGCCGACCUUGAAAUACCACCCUUUAAUGUUUGAUGUUCUAACGUGGACCCGUUACCCGGGUUGCGGACAGUGUCUGGUGGGUAGUUUGACUGGGGCGGUCUCCUCCUAAAGAGUAACGGAGGAGCACGAAGGUUGGCUAAUCCUGGUCGGACAUCAGGAGGUUAGUGCAAUGGCAUAAGCCAGCUUGACUGCGAGCGUGACGGCGCGAGCAGGUGCGAAAGCAGGUCAUAGUGAUCCGGUGGUUCUGAAUGGAAGGGCCAUCGCUCAACGGAUAAAAGGUACUCCGGGGAUAACAGGCUGAUACCGCCCAAGAGUUCAUAUCGACGGCGGUGUUUGGCACCUCGAUGUCGGCUCAUCACAUCCUGGGGCUGAAGUAGGUCCCAAGGGUAUGGCUGUUCGCCAUUUAAAGUGGUACGCGAGCUGGGUUUAGAACGUCGUGAGACAGUUCGGUCCCUAUCUGCCGUGGGCGCUGGAGAACUGAGGGGGGCUGCUCCUAGUACGAGAGGACCGGAGUGGACGCAUCACUGGUGUUCGGGUUGUCAUGCCAAUGGCACUGCCCGGUAGCUAAAUGCGGAAGAGAUAAGUGCUGAAAGCAUCUAAGCACGAAACUUGCCCCGAGAUGAGUUCUCCCUGAGACUUAGAGUCUCCUGAAGGAACGUUGAAGACGACGACGUUGAUAGGCCGGGUGUGUAAGCGCAGCGAUGCGUUGAGCUAACCGGUACUAAUGAACCGUGAGGCUUAACCUUACAACGCCGAAG
rnacentral:rRNA from 1 species